rnacentral:rRNA from 1 species
AGAGAGAGACAUGCGCGCAUAUCAAUAAGCGGAGGAAAAGGAACUAACAAGGAUUCCCUUAGUAACGGCGAGUGAAGCGGGAAGAGCUCAAAUUUGAAAUCUUCAAGGCUUUUACCUUGACGAAUUGUAGUUUAAAGAAGUGUUUUCUGCUGAAGUUUUGGUAAAAGUUCUUUGGAAUAGGACAUCAUAGAGGGUGAGAAUCCCGUAUUUGACCAUUAUUUUCAGCUUUGUGAUACACUUUCAAAGAGUCGGAUUGUUUGGGAAUGCAGUCCAAAAUGGGUGGUAAAUUUCAUCUAAAGCUAAAUAUUGGCGAGAGACCGAUAGCGAACAAGUACCGUGAGGGAAAGAUGAAAAGAACUUUGAAAAGAGAGUUAAACAGUACGUGAAAUUGUCAAAAGGGAAGCGUUUGACACCAGUGUUGUUUUCUCGAAAAUCAAUUAAAAAUGGCUCGAUUUUGUAUUGCUUGAGACCUAAAAGCUCACUGUACAUUUUUCGUGUCUUUUUAAUGCACUUUUCGUUUAACAAGUCAACAUCAGUUUCUUUUGUUGUAAAAGGGUCAUUGGAAGGUGGCUUUCUUUUCGGAGAAAGUGUUUAUAGCCUUUGGCCUCUGCAAUCGGAGAGACUGAGGUCUGCAGCGUAGACUCUUCGGGGUUAGAUACAUUUGUGCUAAGUUAUAGCUUUUUAUAGACAACUUGUUGACUAUAAUUAGUCUUGUAGCUUACUCGCUUAUGCUAUUUUACCUACGCUUAGGAUGUUGAAGAUGUAGCACAUCA